UUUAGUAUUUGGUCGUAGACCCGAAACCAGGUGAUCUACCCUUGGUCAGGUUGAAGUUCAGGUAACACUGAAUGGAGGACCGAACCGACUUACGUUGAAAAGUGAGCGGAUGAACUGAGGGUAGCGGAGAAAUUCCAAUCGAACCUGGAGAUAGCUGGUUCUCUCCGAAAUAGCUUUAGGGCUAGCCUCAAGUGAUGAUUAUUGGAGGUAGAGCACUGUUUGGACGAGGGGCCCCUCUCGGGUUACCGAAUUCAGACAAACUCCGAAUGCCAAUUAAUUUAACUUGGGAGUCAGAACAUGGGUGAUAAGGUCCGUGUUCGAAAGGGAAACAGCCCAGACCACCAGCUAAGGUCCCAAAAUAUAUGUUAAGUGGAAAAGGAUGUGGCGUUGCCCAGACAACUAGGAUGUUGGCUUAGAAGCAGCCAUCAUUUAAAGAGUGCGUAAUAGCUCACUAGUCGAGUGACACUGCGCCGAAAAUGUACCGGGGCUAAACAUAUUACCGAAGCUGUGGAUUGUCCUUUGGACAAUGGUAGGAGAGCGUUCUAAGGGCGUUGAAGCAUGAUCGUAAGGACAUGUGGAGCGCUUAGAAGUGAGAAUGCCGGUGUGAGUAGCGAAAGACGGGUGAGAAUCCCGUCCACCGAUUGACUAAGGUUUCCAGAGGAAGGCUCGUCCGCUCUGGGUUAGUCGGGUCCUAAGCUGAGGCCGACAGGCGUAGGCGAUGGAUAACAGGUUGAUAUUCCUGUACCACCUAUAAUCGUUUUAAUCGAUGGGGGG
rnacentral:rRNA from 1 species